CCUGGACAGGCUUGAGAGGAGGGCCCAUGCCAGCCUCAUGAAGCUCAACAAGGGCAAGUGAAAGGCCAUUCAGGAUCCUCUGGUAAAUAAUCCUUGUUUCAUGAAGCACUGUUACAACCAAAAUCAGAUAGAAGAUCUGUACAGAGGAGCGUCUACCCAGCAACUUUUCCAACUGAAAAAGGAAAGAAAAGGCCAGCAGCACCCUGUAAGCACAAAAGUCCACCUUGUAACAGCAUCCCCACAUCUCCCCUGAGGAGCAUGGGACUGUUCCUGGCUGCCAUCAUUGACAAGACUCUAGACAAGGAUGCUAGUCCCAAACCCCUCUCAGGACUGCAUUUAUGGGUAGUUGACUUUGGAGGUAGAGAGUCUUUGGCUUGGGGUAUUUUUUCUCCUCAAGUAUACAUCUGUCUAGAUGGCCCAAAUAAUCUUACUGGUUUCCUUACCCUCAAGAAUGCAAUGACACAAGUAAUGUGAUUUCCCACCUCUUUAAGGCGUUGAUCUGAAAAAUAUCCGGGCAGGACUUUUCCUUCUACAUUGAAACCCAAUUGUGAACACAAACAGACCCAGUAAAGGGCAUUUUGAGUUUUCUGUCAUUAUGAAUGAUGAGAGAAGAUGGGCUGAUUCUUCUUAAAAAAGCAGAAGACAGGAGAAGGAGAGAAUGGGAAAGGUUGUCACCAGAAAGAUUUUCUACGAUUAAUACUCAGUGAUGCUUUUUGUCUUCUUAGCCCUUGGCUUGCAAUGAGCAGUGAUGGGGAAGCAUGAGAAUGCUUUGUGUUGGGAGAAAGACAGCCUCCUGGCUGUCUGUGCUGGCUCCUCUUCCUGGCAUGCUACCUGCAUCUGCACAUUUUCACGGGGUGAGGCUGAUGUUGGUGCCUCUUUGCAUAGCAGUAGCUGGUUGGCACAACUUUUGCUGUCUCACGAGAAAGCAGCAAAAGUGUUAAGCACAUGUUAUGGCAGCAAUGUAUAGUAGAACCUGAAACACCAACAUGCUCCAUCUAAAUAUGAACAGUAC
ensembl:lncRNA